rnacentral:rRNA from 1 species
AGACCGGUUUAUUGGUCGUGCUUUUGUACGUACUGGUAUUAUUGGUUUCUCCUUUCUGACAAAUCUCAAUGCCAUUAAUUUGGUGUUUUGGGGAAUCAGGACUGUUACUUUGAAAAAAUUAGGGUGUUUAAAGCAGGCUCACGCUUGAAUACAUUAGCAUGGUAUAAUGAAAUAGGACGUUUGAUUCUAUUUUGUUGGUUUCUAGGAUCGACGUA